GGGUGCCCCUAGCUCAGCGGCAGAGCGCUGGUCUCCAAAACCAGGCGUGCGAGGUUCGACUCCUCGGGGUAUGCA
rnacentral:tRNA from 1 species